GACUAGACUAGUAGGAAAAAAACAGGAUAAUCUUUAUGAAAUACACGAUUUGUAUACAAAGUAAAUAUAUUAACUUUAUCUUGUUUAAAUAAAUUAUAAUCACAAAGUGCCCAGUGUGAUUGCAAAGCCACACUGCAUUUUAGUCAUUAUUCCAACCUGUUUUAUUAUUGAAUGUAUGCAUAUAAAUGUAAAACAGAUACAUAUCCGGUCACCAUUUAGGUCUGAGUUGGAUGUAAUUUCAAAAACUGUGCUAUUAAUUUAAGAAAUAUAGUGAUAAAUCUGGGGAUAUUACAAAAUCCCGCGAUAGGACAGAUUAUCUCGCGAGAUAGUGGUGACGUCACGCGUUCUUCCGGAAGUUCACAUUCAAACACGAGGAGCGAUUACGAGGGAGUUUUGUCUAUAUAUCAUUCAAAAUCUACUGUUGGGAAAAGCAGAACCUCAUCCAAAUAAAAAUAAACAAGCUGUUAAAGGCACUGUGUCCUACACAGACCCUCCAAAAUAUAACCACCCAAAACCCAAGUCAGUUGAAGGUCAACACAAACCAAAUAAAGAUGUGCAUUCUACAAACAAUAAAAAAAGAUCAAGUUUUGUGUCCACCACACUUAGAUGAGGCGUGCCCGACCCCUGACUUUGUCUACCCUACAUUAAGUUGCACACUUCAUGACAGUAAACAUCGGUAUCACAAUGGUGUGAUUGAUCUAUACCCUAGAAUAAGCUGUGACACUAUGAGACGUGAGGUAACACAACGAAAAAAUUACCGGAUGGAGACUACCUGAUUCUUCACCUAUGGCCUCAGCUUCAAAUGCAACAUGUCCAGCAACUGUCUGAGUUGGUGGAUAUUCUGUCUGAGACUGCGUGAACAACGUUAUGAACAGAAUGAUGUCAAAUUGUCUUAUGGCAAAGUUCAAUAUGAGGGGUGGUGGACAUCUGUAAAAGAAGUCUUUUAAAGGCACACCUUUGUAUUAUGUUAUUCAAGAUGCUGUGAAGAGGUGGAGCCCAAAUGCCACAGACUCGGAAAUAGAUGCAGCUAUGGCAGACCACCUCAAGCACGCUCCAGGAAGAGCUGGGGUGGUGGAUACAAAAAAGCCAAACAGCUGUGAUGUGUUAAAGAGAGAGUUCACCAAAAAAGGAAAAUUGUUAUAAUUUUCUUAUCCACAUGUUUCAAACCUGUAUACCUUUAUAUUUUCUGCUGAACAUAAAGAUUGAAGAACGUUUGUAACUUCACAACCAAUUAACUGUCAAUAUUUUUUUUACAAUUGUAGUAAUGGGUUGUGGGAUCUGCUUUGUUAAAAACAUUCUUUCACAUAUCUUUGUGUUCAGCAGAACAUAGAAGGGUAUACAGGUUUGAAACAUGAGAGGGAAUAAAUGACUAAAUAUUAAUUUUUGGGUGAAC